rnacentral:lncRNA from 1 species
CCAGGCGUGGCCGGCCUCGGCGUGCCGGGAUCCCCCAGCUUCCUCAAUGGUUCCACGGCCACCUCACCCUUCGCCAUCAUGCCCUCUAGCCCCCCGCUGGCCGCUGCCUCCUCAGUGUCCCUCCCAGCGGCUGCCCCCACCACCAGCGUCUUCUCCUUCUCGCCUGUCAACAUGAUCUCCGCUGUCAAACAGAGGAGCGCUUUCGCCCCCGUGCUGCGCCCACCCAGCUCCCCGCCCCAAGCCUGCCCCAGAGCCCACGGAGAGGGGCUUCCAGACCAGCCUUUUGAAGAUUCUGACAAGUUCCACUCUCCAGCUCGGGGGCUUCAGGGCCUGGCAUACUCCUAAUUAUGGUCUGCAGGUGUGACCCCACUCAGCCCGGACCAGUGGUCCCUCCAGGAUUCACAACCAUGCCCUGGAUCAAAGCACAGACAGAUGCAGGACCAGGGCUGUGGGCAGACCUCAAGCCACAGGCCUGAAUGGGAGAGGCCUUCCUCCCUGGUUCAAGGGGCCCCCAGUCCCACCGGCUUCUCUCACCUCCCUUUCCUGGGGCGGGUCGGAAGCUCCAGCACUGUGCUAACGCUCUUGUUAGGAGAGCAUCCCAGGGAGGUGCUGGGACACCGGGCCUCACUUGUUGGCUCAGUCCCUCUGGAAGAGAUGGACCUUGGAUGAACCAUGCACAUCCAGCGACAGGAGCGUGGGUUGGGGACUGUGGAAAGAGCUCAGGGAGAGGUGGCCUGGGGAGGUCCUGUUUGCGUCUGAUCCAUCUCAAACAUCCCAGCAUCCCAACUACUCUCCAGGGCAUGAGGUGGUCCCCAGCAGCCUCAGGAGGCCGGCCUAGGCUCCCAUGGAGCUUCUGACGGCCACUUGAUCCCAUGGCUGUCCCACUCCCUUUGAGUCCUGUGCACUCAUGCUCACCACAUCAUGAAUCCCAGUGGGGGCUUUGGGCAUGAAGGGUGCAGGGAGGAGGUGCAAGGCCUCCUGGGUUGUGGGUCUUGCCCUUGAUGGAUGCCUCGUGGACUCUGGCCCCACACACAGAUGACUGGCUGGCCCCAUGGAACCAUGGAAUGGGUCCAGCUGCCCCUGGCCUCUACGCUGCUCUGCUGAGGUUGGAGAAAACAAUAAACACAGAUGCAGGUG